rnacentral:rRNA from 1 species
UACGGGGGGAGCAAGCGUUGUUCGGAUUUACUGGGCGUAAAGGGCGCGUAGGCGGCGUGACAAGUCACUUGUGAAAUCUCCGGGCUUAACUCGGAAAGGUCAAGUGAUACUGUCGUGCUAGAGUACAGAAGGGGCAACUGGAAUUCUCGGUGUAGCGGUGAAAUGCGUAGAUAUCGAGAAGAACACUUAGGGCGUAGGCAAGACUCUGGACAAAUGCUGACGCUCAUGCACGAAGGCUAGGGUAGCGAACAGG